rnacentral:rRNA from 1 species
CGGACGGGGGAGUAAUGUCUGGGAAACUGCCUGAUGAGGGGGGAUAACUACUGGAAACGGUAGCUAAUACCGCAUAACGUCGCAAGACCAAAGAGGGGGACCUUCGGGCCUCUUGCCAUCGGAUGUGCCCAGAUGGGAUUAGCUAGUAGGUGGGGUAACGGCUCACCUAGGCGACGAUCCCUAGCUGGUCUGAGAGGAUGACCAGCCACACUGGAACUGAGACACGGUCCAG